GCCACCAUCCCGAACUGUCGCAAACCAAUGCGCGCGUUCCCGCAAGGGAUAGGGGUGGUGGUUUUU
rnacentral:sRNA from 1 species